rnacentral:piRNA from 1 species
UGACUGCUUUGUCUUGUAUUCCCUGACAGUC